rnacentral:rRNA from 1 species
GAUGAACGCUGGCGGCGUGCUUAACACAUGCAAGUCGAACGGGAUCCCAGGGGUGCUUGCACUCUUUGGUGAGAGUGGCGAACGUGUGAGUAACAUGUGAGUAACCUGUCCUUUUCUUUGGUAUAAGCAUUCGAAAGGGUGUUUAAUACCUUAUGUUCUUUCUGCGUCGCAUGGGGUGGUAGGAGAAGGUCUUGGCCGGACUUGGGUGUGAUUGCGGUCUGUCUGCUGUAGUGUGGGGUGAUGGCUUACCCAGACUUUGACGGGUAGACGGCCUGUGAGGGUGGUCGAUCACAUUGGGGCUGAGGAACGGUCCAGGAUGCUGCGGGAGGCAGCAGUGGGGGAUGUUGCACAAUGGGCGAAAGCCUGAUGCAGCGACGCAGCGUGGGGGAUGGAGGGUUUAGGGUUGUAAACUUCUUAUGCUCUAUACGAGGCAUGCCGGUGGGUGUGUUGAGUGUAGGGGUUAAUAAGCGCCGGCUAACUACGUG